AGGGAUUUAGAUGGGCAAUAGACAAUGACAUGUGGGAGGGAAGAGUCGACAGUCUAAGGCCUCUAUUCGAAGAAGCAAGGAUCGAUAUGGGGAAGGAUCAAAUCGACAGGGAAGUGGUCGAAAAGGUAAGUGCCUCCGCCUCCGGCUAAAGUUGAACAUGGGUCAGGUCUUAAAAACUUUUUUGUUAGGAGUGGAAGUCAGCAAGAAGAACACAAGUGGACUUUUGACAACUAUCUGUUCCAGCAGUGAAUUUGAAAGAGAAAUGAACUGUUCUGUUUCAGUUGCUGAAAUUUUAGUGAAAUCCAGUGUCUUUAGGGUAAUGUAUUUGAGGAAGAAACCAUAGGAAGAAAAAUGGGACCUUUUUCUUGUAUUACCUGCAUACUCCUAACUUGUAUAUAUAUCACGCAUUUUCA